UACGUAGGGACCGAGCGUUGUCCGGAAUCAUUGGGCGUAAAGAGCGUGUAGGCGGCCACUUAAGUCCUGCGUGAAAUCUUGCGGCUCAACCGCAAGCGGUCGUGGGAAACUGGGUGGCUAGAGUGCGGGAGAGGAGAGUGGAAUUCCUGGUGUAGCGGUGGAAUGCGCAGAUAUCGGGGAAGAACACCCCGUGGCGAAGGCGGCUCUCUGGGACGGUACUGACGCUGAGACGCGAAAAGCGUGGGGAGCGAACAGG
rnacentral:rRNA from 1 species